AUUGAACGCUGGCGGCAGGCUUAACACAUGCAAGUCGAGCGGGGGAAGGUAGCUUGCUACCGGACCUAGCGGCGGACGGGUGAGUAAUGCUUAGGAAUCUGCCUAUUAGUGGGGGACAACAUCUCGAAAGGGAUGCUAAUACCGCAUACGUCCUACGGGAGAAAGCAGGGGAUCUUCGGACCUUGCGCUGAUAGAUGAGCCUAAGUCGGAUUAGCUAGUUGGUGGGGCAAAGGCCUACCAAGGCGACGAUCUGUAGCGGGUCUGAGAGGAUGAUCCGCCACACUGGGACUGAGACACGGCCCAGACUCCUACGGGAGGCAGCAGUGGGGAAUAUUGGACAAUGGGGGGAACCCUGAUCCAGCCAUGCCGCGUGUGUGAAGAAGGCCUUAUGGUUGUAAAGCACUUUAAGCGAGGAGGAGGCUACUUUAGUUAAUACCUAGAGAUAGUGGACGUUACUCGCAGAAUAAGCACCGGCUAACUCUGUGCCAGCAGCCGCCGCGG
rnacentral:rRNA from 1 species